GACGAACGCUGGCGGCGUGCUUAACACAUGCAAGUCGAACGGAGUGGCGAACGGGUGAGUAACACGUGGGUGACCUGCCCUGCACUUCGGGAUAAGCCUGGGAAACUGGGUCUAAUACCGGAUAGUGUGGGAUGGGCCCGCGGCCUAUCAGCUUGUUGGGGGGGUAAUGGCCUACCAAGGCGGCGACGGGUAGCCGGCCUGAGAGGGUGGACGGCCACAGUGGGAAUGAGCCACGGCCCAGACUCCUACAGGGGGCAGCGGGGGGGAGUAUUGGACAAUUGGGGAAACCCUGAGGCAGCAACGCCGCGGGCGGGAUGACGGCCUUCGGGUUGUAAACCGCUUUCAGCCAUGACGCGGUAGUGGCAGAAGAAGCACCGGCUAACUUCGUGCCAGCAGCCGCGGUAAUAC
rnacentral:rRNA from 1 species